rnacentral:misc_RNA from 1 species
GGGGAUGGUGUUGUUUCAAAUAAUGUAAACGGGACUAUUGAGAAAAUUACAGAUUCUACAUGGCCAGACGAAAAUUUAGAGAUUGCAUCUAAGUUGGAAGACAGUGCUACUAAUAAUUCACGUGGAGGCGAAUUCAGGGAAGGAUCAAAUUUACAUGUAAGAAGCAAUGGAUUCACUGGUUCUAAGGAAGGGGACAUAAAAGAUGCUGAACAUUCAGAUCAAGUCAAAUCGCUGAAGGGUCUUGGAAGGAGCAAGAACGAAAAGCCAUCAAACCUCAAAAAUGUCUCAGCCACUCAGACGAAGAAUGGCAAGGAUGGAAAAGUCGCCAGGGCACCUCCUACUGUCUCAAAUGGUUCAGUUACAUCAAAUUCACAGUCAAAGCAGCCUUUGAAAAUCAAAGCAUUCAAUCAUAAGCAGCAUUCUGAGAAGUCUGAUGUGACAUCCUCUGAAGGCCACAUGGAGAGGACGAAAGUGAAAGCUUUGAAAAAAGGACCUACCACUAAAGCUGAAGAGGAGCCACAAACUCCUACAAGUCCCACUGCAGACGAUACCAAAUCUCGUAGAGUGGGUACACUUCCAAAUUAUGGUUUUAGCUUUAAGUGUGAUGAACGAGCUGAGAAAAGGAAAGAGUUCUAUUCUAAACUCGAGGAAAAGAUUCAUGCCAAGGAAGUAGAAAAGAAUACAUUACAAGCGAAAUCCAAGGAAACCCAAGAAGCUGAAAUUAAGUUGCUUAGGAAGAGUUUGAACUUCAAAGCAACACCAAUGCCUAGCUUCUAUCAGGAGCCUCC